rnacentral:rRNA from 1 species
AUUGAACGCUGGCGGCAUGCUUUACACAUGCAAGUCGAACGGUAACAGGCCGCAAGGUGCUGACGAGUGGCGAACGGGUGAGUAAUGCAUCGGAACGUGCCCAGUCGUGGGGGAUAACUACUCGAAAGAGUAGCUAAUACCGCAUACGAUCUAUGGAUGAAAGCGGGGGACCGUAAGGCCUCGCGCGAUUGGAGCGGCCGAUGUUAGCUUAGGUAGUUGGUGGGGUAAAGGCUCACCAAGCCAACGAUCUGUACCUGGUCUGAGAGGACGACCAAACACACUGAGACUGAGGCACGGCCCAGACUCCUACAGGAGGCAGCAGUGGGGAAUUUUGGACAAGGGGCGCAAGCCUGAUCCAGCAAUGCCGCGUGCAGGAAGAAGGCCUUCGGGUUGUAAAAUGCUUUUGUACGGAACGAAACGGCUCUGGUUAAUACCCUGCGCUAAUGACGGUACCGUAAGAAUAAGCACCGGCUAACUACGUG